GGGGAUAAUAUAAUAUGACAUUAGUUAAAAAUUUGUUGGUUUCUUUGGCUAAUGUAAUGAUUAAAAAGGGACAGUUGGAGUAAUUUAUAUUGGUUGGGGAGGGGUGAAAUCCUAUGAUCCUUCCAAGAUAAACUAGUGCGAAAGCAUUUUACUAGGAUGUUUUCAUUAAUCAAGAACGAAAGUUGGGGGAUCGAAGAUGAUCAGAUACCGUCGUAGUCUCAACCAUAAACUAUGUCGACUAAGGAUGAUAAAAUAUUAAAUGAAUGAUUUUUGUCGCACUUUUAAAAGAAAUUAAAGUAUUCAGACUCCGGGGGAGUAGUGUCGCAAGGCAUCGCUUAGUAUUUUAUUGCUUUUAGAUGUAGUAAUUGGGUAAAACUGGUUAUGAAACCUAAGGGAUAAACAGUAAAGUAUUAAGUGGGGUU
rnacentral:rRNA from 1 species